GUUUCAGAUGGAGGGUGCGACGUGCGAGAUGCACGCUCUGUUCGAGGGAUAAAACGGCCACGCACGAGAUUUUGUAGGCAAUGGUAAUUGGUGACGAUACCAUGGCGUUUGAAAAGAAGUUUGAGUUUUAGGUGGUAGAGUUGAACAGCAGUACCUUCAAUGCACUGGGAACUAACGUGCUCUCCCCCUCUCUCUCUUCUCUCUUAAUCAGGGCCCAGGUCUUGUGGCCACAUCUGUCCAAGCUCCUACUCUGAUUGAACAGUUGGAUGAUCAGACUGAUGAUGAAAAGUGCUACACAGUUCUCACACAUCUUCUACCUCUGAAGCCGCUGCAGUGUAAAAUCUGAGAUGUCUUUUCUGGUUGAUUUUGUGCAGAUUUCUGACAGCGAUGGUGAGGGAAGCAGUGUACCGAACUCUCAGAUGACUCGGACCAGGUGACCAAACCCAUGCAAAACACAAUGGAGAUUAACAAGAGGCUGGAUGCUGCGUCCAUCACCAGAGGGGCCGGGAUUGCUGCGGCAGCUAGCCAAUUAAAGGAGGAGGAUGAAGGAGAGGAGUCUGACGAUGCAGACAUCGCCAUCGUAUGCAGGCCACGCCCUCGCAGGAAAACCAGCCAAUGAAAACGCUCGCAGCAGCAUCAGCAGAACACACCGGCACGACUGACAGAGCUUCUGAAGCAUGCAGUGGAAGAGCUGUCAGUCAAGCUAAAGGUCCCGCCCUCCAACCUGCU